rnacentral:rRNA from 1 species
CUAGCGACUUCAGAGUUUGAUCCUGGCUCAGGAUGAACGCUAGCGGCAGGCUUAGCACAUGCAAGUCGAGGGGCAGCAUGACACGGAGAUUCGUCGAAGUGUUGAUGGCGACCGGCGCAAGGGUGCGUAACGCGUGAGCAACUUGCCCGUUUCAGGGGGAUAACCGGUGGGAACGCCGACUAAUACCCCAUAGUAUUGUUAUGAGGCAUCUCAAGACAAUUAAAGAAUUUCGGAAACGGAUAGGCUCGCGUGACAUUAGCUAGAUGGCGGGGUAACGGCCCACCAUGGCGACGAUGUCUAGGGGUUCUGAGAGGAAGGUCCCCCACACUGGAACUGAGACACGGUCCAG